GGGGGCGUUAUUGGUUUCGACGGGGAGCAUUGGUCAAAAUGUAAAGCAUGUGGUGGACGUUCUUACACCUAAAAGAAGGACAGCGAAAAUAAACGCAAACAACAAUGUAGUUCGUAUGGGCACUCCUAGCCUUGCUAUGGCUGCCUAAUCGGACAAAAAAUCUUUAAGACUGACAAUUUCGGUCUAACUCGAAUAUAAUCUCACCAAAUUAUAUUAUGAGUUCAUAAAAACGGUGCUCUGUAAGUAAUCUCGUCUAAAAUUGCUUAUAAAAACAAGACUAUGCUGUUAAAAUUUUGUUUAUGUUAUGUUUAACAGCGAAAAUUUAACAUAAACUAAACAUGUAGAAAAAUUUUGAACAAGUUUUUCGGAAGCGGGUUCAAUUCCCGCCGUCUCCACCA
rnacentral:tmRNA from 1 species